rnacentral:rRNA from 1 species
GACGAACGCUGGCGGCGUGCUUAACACAUGCCAGUCGAACGGAAAGGCCCUGCUUUUGUGGGGUGCUCGAGUGGCGAACGGGUGAGUAACACGUGAGUAACCUGCCCUUGACUUUGGGAUAACUUCAGGAAACUGGGGCUAAUACCGGGUAGGAGCUCCUGCUGCAUGGUGGGGGUUGGAAAGUUUCGGCGGUUGGGGAUGGACUCGCGGCUUAUCAGCUUGUUGGUGGGGUAGCGGCUUACCAAGGCUUUGACGGGUAGCCGGCCUGAGAGGGUGACCGGCCACAUUGGGACUGAGAUACGGCCCAGACUCCUACGGGAGGCAGCAGUGGGGAAUAUUGCACAAUGGGCGGAAGCCUGAUGCAGCAACGCCGCGUGCGGGAUGACGGCCUUCGGGUUGUAAACCGCUUUCGCCUGUGACGAAGCGUGAGUGACGGUAAUGGGUAAAGAAGCACCGGCUAACUACGUG